rnacentral:lncRNA from 1 species
AGAAUUGGCUUCCCUGUGCAAGAAUACCAUAUUACUGUUUGGAAAAGAUAAGUUGCUACCUCUAGACCAACAGUCAAGGGCCCUUCAGCCCUGGCGGAGAAAACAUACACUAUUCGUUUAAAAAAUGAAAAUAAGCUGUUUAGCAUUGCCAGUAUUCUUCCUAAAUAAUAAUUCUAUCAAGACAGAAAUGAGUUUUGGCAAGGUUAAGAAUGAUUUUCUUCAGACCUCUUAUUCUUAAAAUCCUAAUCUGAAUUUGGUUAUCUUUCUACCAGUGUAAUCAACAAUGAAGGAUUUCUUUUCGUUUUUGUUACAGUCUGAGGAUUGCAAAGCAACUGAAAUUACUAGUCCAAGUAAAUAUGAGAGUUGCUAUUGGUUAUAAAUUGAUUGGGCAUGUUAGUUUUUCUUGGCUAUUGAGUUGACAGUACCCAUUGGGAAGACAAACAUUUUAUAAAUGAUACCUUAAUAUUGAUAGCAUCAUUUUAAAUAGUAUUUAGAAUUUUCCCUCUUACAGCAAGAAAAAUGAAUAUAGUUAAGUGUUCUACAAUCCACCUAUUACCUGUAGCAUUCUAACUAAAAUCUCUUUUCGUUUUUUAGGUUAGGGAACAGGGAUCAGCAAAUUUCUUUAUGUAAUGAGCCAGAUAGUAAAUAUUUUAGGGUUUGCAAGCCACAUAGGUUUCUGAGGGAUAGUCUUUGUUUAGCUUUUAAACAACCCUUUGAAAAUGUAAAAACCAUAUUGGCCUUAAGCUACAUUUGUCCCUGACAGUAGUUUGCUAACCU